GCGGAUAUGGCGGAACUGGCAGACGCGCACGGUUCAGGUCCGUGUGAGCUAACGCUCAUGGAGGUUCGAGUCCUCUUAUCCGCACCA
rnacentral:tRNA from 2 species